rnacentral:rRNA from 1 species
AUUGAACGCUGGCGGCAUGCUUUACACAUGCAAGUCGAACGGUAACAGGCCGCAAGGUGCUGACGAGUGGCGAAAGGGUGAGUAAUGCAUCGGAACGUGCCCAGUCGUGGGGGAUAACUACUCGAAAGAGUAGCUAAUACCGCAUACGAUCUAUGGAUGAAAGCGGGGGACCGUAAGGCCUCGCGCGAUUGGAGCGGCCGAUGUCAGAUUAGGUAGUUGGUGGGGUAAAGGCUCACCAAGCCAACGAUCUGUAGCUGGUCUGAGAGGACGACCAGCCACACUGGGACUGAGACACGGCCCAGACUCCUACGGGAGGCAGCAGUGGGGAAUUUUGGACAAUGGGCGCAAGCCUGAUCCAGCAAUGCCGCGUGCAGGAAGAAGGCCUUCGGGUUGUAAACUGCUUUUGUACGGAACGAAACGGCUCUGGUUAAUACCCGGGGCUAAUGACGGUACCGUAAGAAUAAGCACCGGCUAACUACGUG